rnacentral:tRNA from 1 species
GGCCCUAUGCGCGAAUGGUAAAGCGGCUUCUCUGCAAAAGAAGAGCCUUUAAGGCAAUGUCGGUUCGAUUCCGACUAGGGUCUC